AUUGAACGCUGGCGGCAGGCCUAACACAUGCAAGUCGAGCGGAUGAGUGGAGCUUGCUCCAUGAUUCAGCGGCGGACGGGUGAGUAAUGCCUAGGAACCUGCCUGGUAGUGGGGGACAACGUUUCGAAAGGAACGCUAAUACCGCAUACGUCCUACGGGAGAAAGUGGGGGAUCUUCGGACCUCACGCUAUCAGAUGAGCCUAGGUCGGAUUAGCUAGUUGGUGAGGUAAAGGCUCACCAAGGCGACGAUCCGUAACUGGUCUGAGAGGAUGAUCAGUCACACUGGAACUGAGACACGGUCCAGACUCCUACGGGAGGUAGCAGUGGGGAAUAUUGGACAAUGGGCGAAAGCCUGAUCCAGCCAUGCCGCGUGUGUGGAGAAGGUCUUCGGAUUGUAAAGCACUUUAAGUUGGGAGGAAGGGCAGUAAGUUAAUACCUUGCUGUUUUGACGUUACCAACAGAAUAAGCACCGGCUAACUUCGUGCCAGCCGCCGCAGUAAAAC
rnacentral:rRNA from 1 species